AACGCACAUUGCGCCCGCCAGUAUUCUGGCGGGCAUGCCUGUCUGAGCGUCAUUUCAACCCUCAUGCCCCAGGGCGUGGUGUUGGGGAUCGGCCCGGGCCCUAGUGGCCUGGCCGUCCCCCAAAUCUAGUGGCGGACCCGCCGUGGCCUCCUCUGCGUAGUACUGAACUUUCGCAUGUGGAGAGCGGCGCGCCCCUGCCGUGAAACCCCAACUUCUCAAGGUUGACCUCAGAUCAGGUAGGAAUACCCGCUGAACUUAA
rnacentral:misc_RNA from 1 species